AGUGAACGCUGGCGGUAGGCCUAACACAUGCAAGUCGAACGGCAGCACAGUAAGAGCUUGCUCUUACGGGUGGCGAGUGGCGGACGGGUGAGGAAUACAUCGGAAUCUACUUUUUCGUGGGGGAUAACGUAGGGAAACUUACGCUAAUACCGCAUACGACCUACGGGUGAAAGCAGGGGAUCUUCGGACCUUGCGCGAUUGAAUGAGCCGAUGUCGGAUUAGCUAGUUGGCGGGGUAAAGGCCCACCAAGGCGACGAUCCGUAGCUGGUCUGAGAGGAUGAUCAGCCACACUGGAACUGAGACACGGUCCAGACCCCUACGGGAGGCAGCAGUGGGGAAUAUUGGACAAUGGGCGCAAGCCUGAUCCAGCCAUACCGCGUGGGUGAAGAAGGCCUUCGGGUUGUAAAGCCCUUUUGUUGGGAAAGAAAAGCAGCAGGUUAAUACCCCACUGUUCUGACGGUACCAAAAGAAUAAGCACCGGCUAACUUCGUG
rnacentral:rRNA from 1 species